AAAUUGCAGCAGGGUUUUAGUUUUUAGAUCAGUUCAGUUGAUUAUGGUGGUUCUAGAGAGAGAAAGAGAGGUUGGAUGGAGAUGAAAAGCAAUGGAAUUUCACCUUUACUCAACUCUCAAGAUAACCUUAAAAUGCUACAAUGGCUGACGCCAUUAGGAAGCACAGAAAAGGCAGUGCCGCUGUGAAACCAACUCUCUCCUGCAAAUUCACACAAGACAUUAAAAUACCUCCAAAUCAAUGGUGUGUUAUGAUUGAAUCAAAAGAAUGUUAAUAAUGGCUUCAAUGUAGUUAACCUUUCUCAUUAUUGGCACAAACAAGAAGGUUCUAGGCUAAUAAAAGCAGGAAAUUCUAUAAAGGAGUGAGGGAGAAGUUAAUCCUCACCGAUUCUGCUGAAGUAAUGGAUAAAUAGCCAUCGGAAGUGAUUCCUGUCUCCGCCGCUGGCGGUGGUGGAGCAGCCGCGCCGGAGACUGGGAUCGACGUGUUCGUACUGAUCAGGCCUGUUGAAUUGAACCCUAGAUUGUACACCGGCGUUCCGUCGGGCUUGAAUAGCCCGAAAUUCCUCUCCGACGUCGGCCCUGGCUUCUGAUUCUCGUUGAAUAAAGCGAAAACAUAUACGUUCAAAUCGGUGUUAGGCCUCAUCGGCGUCCCCUUCUUCUCGGAAAGUAGUUUCAUCAGGUUGCCGUUGUACUUCCUCGCGUUUUCCGGCGUUGCUCCUGCCUCGUCGGCGUCUCCUUUCGACGGCCAACCGGUUUCGGAGAUCUGCAAACCGAUGUUCCUGUACCCUAGCUUCUCGAUGGCGGAAUAGGCGGCGUCGAUUUGGGCGUAGAACAUGUUGUCGUAGCGUAAUCCCGAAGCUUGAUCCACAGUCGCCGAAUCGGACUCGAACAGGACGUAAUCCAGAGAGACUUGCUUCGGAUUCGCCUUGUAGGCGAAGAAAGGAUACGCGUUGAUUAGGAACGGAGAACCGACUUUGCAGUGAAAAUCGAGGAUACUGUAGAGCUUCUGAGUCAGAUCUCGGCGGAAUUCGCCGGCGGAGGGAGGGUAAGAAACUUCUAGAAUCGCUAAAUUGUGAGCCGUCGUAACCGCCACUUGCCUGUCGAGGUUGAGAGUGACGAGCGCAGAGUGGAUGCUUUCCAUGGCGGGGAGAAGGUUGCGGGAGAGAGCGGAGUCGUUGAACGUCAGAACCUCGUUUCCGACGGCAAUGGAGGUGAUUUUCGUCGCCGGCAAGUAGCAUUGAACGUUGGAUUUAAUCCAGGCUAGGGCUUGCUUGGAGUCCUUCAUCCUCGCUAAAUUCUCGUUUCCGACGCCGACGAUGAACUCCACGCCGGAGUUACCGAACGCCUUGAGCACGCGCGGAUCGGCGUCGUAGAGCUUGAUUUUGGUGGCGCCGAUGGAUUUGACGAGCGGCACCACCGCCGCCGGGCUGGGGAGGUUGUCGCCGAUCUGGCCGUAGUUGAUUCCGAUGGAAAACGACGUCGUACAAAGCAAGGACGCUGCGGUUACAAAGCAUGCAGUGACAUUUGGGAGCACCAGGGUGUCCGGCUCCAUCGAAGUCAGUCUGCUAUAGGGCAAUGGCGCGAGGUCCUGGAGCUUCCAGGUAUUUUAUCUACUUUGUUCCUUUCACUUUACUUUGUUUUUUGUUUUUAUUUU